rnacentral:rRNA from 1 species
AUUGAACGCUGGCGGCAUGCCUUACACAUGCAAGUCGAACGGUAACAGGUCUUCGGAUGCUGACGAGUGGCGAACGGGUGAGUAAUACAUCGGAACGUGCCUAGUAGUGGGGGAUAACUACUCGAAGGAGUGGCUAAUACCGCAUGAGAUCUACGGAUGAAAGCAGGGGAUCGCAAGACCUUGUGCUACUAGAGCGGCCGAUGGCAGAUUAGGUAGUUGGUGGGAUAAAAGCUUACCAAGCCGACGAUCUGUAGCUGGCCUGAGAGGACGAUCAGCCACACUGGGACUGAGACACGGCCCAGACUCCUACGGGAGGCAGCAGUGGGGAAUUUUGGACAAUGGGCGCAAGCCUGAUCCAGCAAUGCCGCGUGCAGGAUGAAGGCCUUCGGGUUGUAAACUGCUUUUGUACGGAACGAAAAGCCCCGGGUUAAUACCCUGGGGUCAUGACGGUACCGUAAGAAUAAGCACCGGCUAACUACGUGCCAGCAGCCGCAGUAA